ACGGGAGGCAGCAGUGGGGGAUAUUGCACAAUGGGGGAAACCCUGAUGCAGCGACGCCGCGUGAGUGAUGAAGUAUUUCGGUAUGUAAAGCUCUAUCAGCAGGGAAGAAAAUGACGGUACCUGACUAAGAAGCUCCGGCUAAAUACGUGCCAGCAGCCGCGGUAAUACGUAGGGGGCAAGCGUUAUCCGGAUUUACUGGGUGUAAAGGGAGCGUAGACGGUAUGGCAAGUCUGAAGUGAAAUGCCCGGGCUCAACCCGAGAACUGCUUUGGAAACUGUCAAACUAGAGUGCAGGAGAGGUAAGUGGAAUUCCUAGUGUAGCGGUGAAAUGCGUAGAUAUUAGGAGGAACACCAGUGGCGAAGGCGGCUUACUGGACUGUAACUGACGUUGAGGCUCGAAAGCGUGGGGAGCAGACAGGAUUAGAUACCCUGGUA
rnacentral:rRNA from 1 species